GCAGUAGCCGCGGGAAAACGUAGGGGGCUAGCGUUGUUCGGAAUCAUUGGGCGUAAAGCGCGUGUAGGCGGCUUGAUAAGUCUGCUGUGAAAGUCCAGGGCUCAACCUGGGAAUGCCAGUGGAGACUGUCAAGCUAGAGUACGGAAGGGGAGUGUGGAAUUCCUGGUGUAGCAGUGAAAUGCGCAGAUAUCAGGAGGAACACCAAUGGCGAAGGCAGCACUCUGGGACGUGACUGACGCUGAUGCACGAAAGCGUGGGGAGCAAACAGGAUUAGAGACCCCCGUAGUCCCUGUCUCUUAUAC
rnacentral:rRNA from 1 species